rnacentral:rRNA from 1 species
UACGGAGGGGGCAAGCGUUGUUCGGAAUUACUGGGCGUAAAGGGCGCGUAGGCGGAUUUGUAAGUUACUUGUGAAAUCUUGAAGCUCAACUUCAAACGGUCCAGUAAUACUGCAGAGCUUGAGUGCAGAAGGGGCAACUGGAAUUCUUGGUGUAGAGGUGAAAUGCGUAGAUAUCAAGAGGAACACCUGAGGCGAAGGCGGGUUGCUGGGCUGGCACUGACGCUGAGGCGCGAAAGCUAGGGGAGCAAACAGG